rnacentral:rRNA from 1 species
CCCUUAGAUGUUCUGGGCCGCACGCGCGCUACACUGACGAAUGCAACGAGCUUAUAACCUUGGCCGAAAGGUCUGGGUAAUCUCCAAAUUUCGUCGUGAUGGGGAUAGAUUAUUGCAAUUAUUAAUCUUCAACGAGGAAUGCCUAGUAAGCGCGAGUCAUCAGCUUGCGUUGAUUACGUCCCUGCCCUUUGUACACACCGCCCGUCGCUCCUACCGAUUGAAUGGUCCGGUGAAGCGUUCGGACCGUGGCCUUUGGACGGUUCGCCGUCUGUUGGCUGCGGGAAGUUCGUUAAACCUUNUNAUUUAUNGGAAGGAGAANUCGUANCA